UACAGAGGGGGCAAGCGUUGUUCGGAAUUACUGGGCGUAAAGGGCGCGUAGGCGCCUUCUAAGUCGAACGUGAAAUCCCCGGGCUCAACCCGGGAACUGCGUCCGAUACUGGAAGGCUUGAAUCCGGGAGAGGGAUGUGGAAUUCCAGGUGUAGCGGUGAAAUGCGUAGAUAUCUGGAGGAACACCGGUGGCGAAGGCGGCAUCCUGGACCGGCAUGACGCUGAGGCGCGAAGCCAGG
rnacentral:rRNA from 1 species